GUUAGAGAUAGAAUCAUCAGCUAAGAGUGAGUAGAUGGAAGAGGAAUUGAAAGUUAAGGAAAAGGCAUGAAAUAGUCUGAGAGAAUGGGAAAAUGAAUUAACUAGGGACAUAUGUAAUCAGAAUGCCCAGCUUGCUGAGGGUCCACUUGAUAUUUGUGGUUGUAUAUUUGUGUGAAGCCAUUCACUAUGACUUUAUGUUUGUAAUUUUUUUAAACAAAAUCCAUUUGUGUAAUGGAUUUAACCAGGUUUGGAGUUUUGCUAAGAGAGUACAAUAGAGAGAGGAGGAGCUUUGUAGCAAAGAAGUAAUUAUAAUGUACAAUUUGUAGGAUAGGACUAUGAGGAAUGGUGGCUGAGGUAGAGAGAAGACAAGAUAAACAAGAUAAUUGCCUAAAGGACAGGAGGGCCAGGAUUUCAAAUGGACCAUCUAUAUGGAUGUUUAAAAUAACUAAGAUUGAUGCUAAGAGUAGAGGAAGACAGUGAGCCAGCUUCUAAUGCCAGUUCUAUCACUUAUGUCUAGCACAUCAGUAUAUUCCUCCUCUUUCAUCUACUCAAGGAUAUGGCUCUAGAAAGUUUCCCCCCAUCUUCUGCCUCCCUUUACCACAGAAAAAUUCUUACUGGAAUAUAAACAUGCUAUUAUUUUUCCCAUCAUGAAAAUCAAAAUAAAACAAUGUAACAACAAAGGAAAUCUCUUAACUUCUUAGCCCUUUCUAGGUACCUCCUCAUUUCUCUACUCUCUCUUUGAACAAAAUUCCUUAUAACAGUUGUUUAUAUCUACUGUUUUCAAUUAAUCUCUUCCGUUUUUCUCUCAAAUCUUUUCCAGUCACACUUUUAUAUAAAUGAAUCAAUGAAAUAGGAAGAAUAAACAGAACUUUGGUAGACAACUUCAAGAUGAUGUUACAUGUUUGAUGGCCCGAGCUGAAAAGAGUUGGGAGUUUUUGAGGGAAAGAGAGUUGAAAUUUUCUUGUAUGAGAAGUGGAAGCUCCAUGAGAACAAAGGCAUUGCUGCUUUUGUUCAUUGCUGUGUCCCCAAAGUCUUGAACAGUGUCUGGCACAUAUAGGACAUUUCCUGAAUCUUCCCUGGCUUUGUGAAGUGAGUUAUGUAGCCUUGUCGAUUAUUGGUUUGCAUGCAGGUGGAAAAUGAGGAGUUCUGAAUCUUCGUUAUCGAAAGCAGUUAAAAUGUGUCUGGAAUUUGCUGGAAGAACUACAGGGAAAGCAGUCGGUGAGACCCAGGCACAGGAGGAGAGUUCGUUAGCUACCACAUGUAAAGCUGAGAGCAGAUGGCGCCGUUGAUACAGAACGCAGGAAUGUGCGUGUUUA